ACUGCAGCAGCUGAAGCAGCCGCUCCCCAUACUGCAGCCGGAAGUACUCCGCCAGGUCCUCCUCUUCCAUGAUGCCCAGACUCAUGGUGGCAGUCACCUAACAGCCAGCCGAGGCGGCCUACUUUUCCGAGUGAAAUCUUUGGAGGAGCUACGUGAUGCCACCCUUGGAGAGGUCUGGUUGCACACUUCUGGAAUCACUGUUACACUUGCUGGCCUGUCAGAUCAGACUGGCCAGAUCUGUGCUGAAGGAAAAGAGAAAACAAACAGACCUUCCUUCUGCUCUUGUGAGCCUCACUGUCCGAACCCUCACUUCUGACUGCUUCCUGUGCCGAAAGAGCUGGGCAGCCAUUUUGCUGUGUCUCCAAGAAAAAAUAAAUUACUUUG